CUACGGGGCGCACCAGUGGGGAAUUUUGCGCAAUGGGCGAAAGCCUGACGCAGCAAUACCGCGUGAGUGAAGAAGGCCUUUGGGUCGUAAAGCUCUUUUCUGGGGGAAGAUAGUGACGGUACCCCAGGAAUAAGCACCGGCUAACUCCGUGCCAGCAGCCGCGGUAAUACGGAGGGUGCAAGCGUUGUUCGGAUUUACUGGGCGUAAAGGGCACGUAGGCGGCACAGCAAGUAAGGGUGAAAUCCCGGGGCUCAACUCCGGAACUGCUCUUAAAACUGCUGAGAGAGAGAUGGGCAGCGGCGGGUAGAAUUCCUGGUGUAGAGGUGAAUUUCGUAGAUAUCAGGAGGAAUACCGGUGGCGAAGGCGGCCCGCUGGGGCCAUUCUGACGCUAAGGUGCGAAAGCGUGGGGAGCGAACGGGAUUAGAUACCCCUGUAGUC
rnacentral:rRNA from 1 species